UAAUGGCAGGUCAGCAUACUGCCGUGAAUACGUUCCCGGGCCUUGUACACACCGCCCGUCACACCAUGAGAGUUGGAAAUACCCGAAGCCUGUGAGCUAACUUUUAGAGGCAGCAGUCGAAGGUAGAGCCAAUGAUUGGGGUGAAGUCGUAACAAGGUACC
rnacentral:rRNA from 1 species